rnacentral:rRNA from 1 species
CUAGCAUAUCAAUAAGCGGAGGAAAAGAAACCAACAGGGAUUGCCCCAGUAACGGCGAGUGAAGCGGCAACAGCUCAAAUUUGAAAUCUGGCCCCCAGGGUCCGAGUUGUAAUUUGCAGAGGAUGAUUUUGGCGAGGUGCCUUCCGAGUUCCCUGGAACGGGACGCCACAGAGGGUGAGAGCCCCGUCUGGUUGGACGCCGAGCCUAUGUAAAUCUCCUUCGACGAGUCGAGUAGUUUGGGAAUGCUGCUCUAAAUGGGAGGUAUAUGUCUUCUAAAGCUAAAUAUUGGCCAGAGACCGAUAGCGCACAAGUAGAGUGAUCGAAAGAUGAAAAGCACUUUGAAAAGAGGGUUAAAUAGUACGUGAAAUUGUUGAAAGGGAAGCGCUCAUGACCAGACUUGGGCCCGGUGAAUCAUCCAGCGUUCUCGCUGGUGCACUUUGCCGGGCACAGGCCAGCAUCAGUUUGCCCUGGGGGAUAAAGGCUUUGGGAAUGUGGCUCCUCCGGGAGUGUUAUAGCCCAUUGCAUAAUAUCCUGGGGCGGACUGAGGUUCGCGCAUCUGCAAGGAUGCUGGCGUAAUGGUCAUCAGCGACCCGUCUUGAAACACGGACCAAGGAGUCGUCUUCGUAUGCGAGUGUUCGGGUGUAAAACCCCUACGCGUAAUGAAAGUGAACGCAGGUGAGAGCUUCGGCGCAUCAUCGACCGAUCCUGAUGUUCUCGGAUGGAUUUGAGUAAGAGCAUACGGGGCCGGACCCGAAAGAAGGUGAACUAUGCCUGUAUAGGGUGAAGCCAGAGGAAACUCUGGUGGAGGCUCGCAGCGGUUCUGACGUGCAAAUCGAUCGUCAAAAUAUGGGCAUGGGGGGCGAAAGACUAAUCGAACCUUCUAGUAGCUGGUUUCCGCCGAA